AAUAUAGUUAAAUAAAGUUCGACUCAUUCCAAGGCAGUAUUUGCUAAUGAGGACAGCUAGUGUUGUGAGGCCUGUGGCUGUAGAAGUUCACUGGCGCAGUGGGACAAAGACAGCCAGGAGCACCUCUGCUUUUUCUCUGAUUUUCAGGAGAUUUCUGUAAAUCGCUACGAACGUGGCAUGUUAGCAUAUCCCACUGAGAGAUUCAGGUGACGUGUAACAGAAAGCUGUGCCUCAUUUCAGGAAUGAAGGCCUGAAAACGUUUGUACCGCAAAGUUGCAUUCAUACGCCAUCUGCUGGUGUUUUGCUGUAGUUCAGCGGCGUGUCCCAAGCGUCCUGUUCGUAGAGGACACGGUAGAUGGCCGGGGAGAUCUGGAGACCCGCCGCUUUGGUUAGAGAGGUUUCAGGUGGGGUGAAAAGAGCGUCUCCUAACGUCGGCAUCAUGGGAGAGUCCCUCGCCUUUUCUCUCUUUUUCUUCAUACUUAAAUCCAGCGUUCCAUUUUCGUCUACCUCUAUCAGCGAGUCCUGAAUGAUAAAGAAGUGUUGUUGAUACCCAACCUUUGAUAACCAGAGCACUUUUCCCAUAGAAAACAGUGUUUUGAACUUGUUUUCUGAGCCAAAACCUAGAAAAUCACACUACUAUUACUCAUAAUUGAGGUUAGAGGCUUGAACAAAGCCCUAACUGUGAAUAUUACAAUUCUGUGCAUAGUUCAUUCAACCUUAUUUGUGUUACAGACAUAAAUGAUACCUCAAAGCUCAAAACAUUGGUUUGUUACAAUGUGGUGUGCUUUUACUUAUUUUCUAACCAGUCAAACUUACAAUCUUUGCAUUGCAGACAAUUUUUUCAUGAAAAUUCAUAUUUGUAUUCAGCAAGAAUGCAUUAAAUUUAUCGUAAGUGACAAUAAAGACAUUUAUAAUGUUACAAAAUAUUUAUAUUUCAAAUACAUUGUUCAUAAAGAAUCCUGAAAAAAAAAAAAAAAGAAAAUCACAAUUUCCACAAAAAUAUAAAGCAGCACAUCUGUUUUCAACAUUAAUAAUAAUAAGAAAUUUUUCUUGAGCAGCAAAUCAGCAUAUUAUAAUGAUUUCUGAAGGAUCAUGUGACACUGAAGACUGGAGUAAUGAUGCUGAAAAUGCAGCUUUGCGUCACAGGAAUAAAUUAAAAAAUUAAAUGUAUUCAAACAGAAAAAAAGUUUUGUAAUUUGCAAUAUUUUUCACAAUAUUUCUGUAUUUUUGAGUAUAUGAGACUUAUUUAAAAACAUUUUAAAAAUUAAAUGACGUG